AGAGUUUGAUUAUGGCUCAGGAUGAACGCUAGCUACAGGCUUAACACAUGCAAGUCGAGGGGUAGCAGGAUCUAGCAAUAGAUUGCUGACGACCGGCGCACGGGUGAGUAACACGUAUCCAACCUUCCGUUUACUCGGGGAUAGCCUUUCGAAAGAAAGAUUAAUACCCGAUAGUAUGCUUUUCCCGCAUGGGAGAAUCAUUAAAGUUUUUCGGUAAUCGAUGGGGAUGCGUUCCAUUAGGCAGUUGGUGAGGUAACGGCUCACCAAACCUUCGAUGGAUAGGGGUUCUGAGAGGAAGGUCCCCCACAUUGGAACUGAGACACGGUCCAAACUCCUACGGGAGGCAGCAGUGAGGAAUAUUGGUCAAUGGACGAGAGUCUGAACCAGCCAAGUAAGCGUGAAGGAUGACUGCCCUAUGGGUUGUAAACUUCUUUUAUAUGGGAAUAAAGGAGCCUACGUGUAGGUUUUUGUAUGUACCAUACGAAUAAGGAUCGGCUAACUCCGUGCCAGCCGCCGC
rnacentral:rRNA from 1 species